rnacentral:rRNA from 1 species
UACGAAGGGGGCUAGCGUUGCUCGGAAUUACUGGGCGUAAAGCGCACGUAGGCGGCUUUCUAAGUCGGGGGUGAAAUCCUGGAGCUCAACUCCAGAACUGCCUUCGAUACUGGAGAGCUCGAGUCCGGGAGAGGUGAGUGGAACUGCGAGUGUAGAGGUGAAAUUCGUAGAUAUUCGCAAGAACACCAGUGGCGAAGGCGGCUCACUGGCCCGGUACUGACGCUGAGGCACGAAAGCGUGGGGAGCGAACAGG